rnacentral:rRNA from 1 species
AGUGAACGCUGGCGGUAGGCCUAACACAUGCAAGUCGAACGGCAGCACAGUAAGAGCUUGCUCUUACGGGUGGCGAGUCGCGGACGGGUGUUUAAUACAUCGUACUCUAUUUUUUCGUGGGGGAUCACGUAGGGACACUUACGCUAAUACCGCAUACGGCCUACGGGUGAAAGCAGGGGAUUUUCGAGCCUUGCCCUAUUGAAUGAGCCGAUGUCGGAGUAGCUAGUUGGCGGGGUAAAGGCCCACCAAGGCGACGAUCCGUAGCUGGUCUGAGAGGAUGAUCAGCCACACUGGAACUGAGACACGGUCCAUACUCCUACGGGAGGCAGCAGUCGUGAAUAGUGGACAAUGGGCGCAAGCCUGAUCCAGCCAUACCGCGUGGGUGAAGAAGGCCUUCGGGUUGUAAAGCACUUUUGUCGGGAAAGAAAAGCAGCAGGUUAAUACCCAGCUGUUCUGACGGUACCCAAAGGAUAAGCACCGGCUAACUUCGUG